rnacentral:lncRNA from 1 species
GCUGUAUGUGAGUUCAAUAUAGGCUCCAAAGUCUGUUUUUGAACACACAGAAAGGCUGAAGUUAUCCUAGGAGGCAUUGUGAAACCUUUAAAAUAAAAGAAAAUUUAAAUAGAAUCAAUUUAAAUCAAUUUUACUUUUAAAAAUUUAAAAAUUCAUGUGCAGUACUUUUAAGAAAUGGGAAGAAUGCAAAAAUGAGCCAUCUGCAGCUUCCCAGAGAGACGACGAAACCCUGUUGUUCCUUGAACAGGGUAGGGAUGAGGCAGAAUCUAGACUGGCAGAUAACAUCAAGAGCUAUUUCUGGAUGCUAGGGAAAGAGGUUAUUUUUCAGACAAUCUCUCCAAGCAAAC